rnacentral:piRNA from 1 species
UAUUACCAACGAAGUAGGUUC